rnacentral:rRNA from 1 species
AAUGGGUAGUAUGAGAUGCCUGAUGUUAGCGGCGGAUGUUUUCUCUGUGUAACCUGCCUGUAAGACUGGGAUAAAUAGGGGGAAACGGGGCUAAUACCGGAUGGUUGUUUGAACCGCAUGGUUCAAACAUAAAAGGUGGCUUCGGCUACCACUUACAGAUGGACCCGCGGCGCAUUAACUAGUUGGUGAGGUAACGGCUCACCAAGGCAACGAUGCGUAGCCCACCUGAAAGGGUGAUCGGCCACACUGGGACUGAAACACGGCCCAAACUCCUACGGGAGGCAGCAAUAGGGAAUCUUCCGCAAUGGACGAAAGUCUGACGGAACAACGCCCCGUGAGUGAUGAAGGUUUUCGGAUCGUAAAGCUCUGUUGUUAGGGAAGAACAAGUACCGUUCGAAUAGGGCGGUACCUUGACGGUACCUAACCAGAAAGCCACGGCUAACUACGUGCCACCACCCGCGGUAAUACGUAUGUGGCAAGCGUUGUCCGGAAUUAUGGGGCGUAAAGGGCUCGCAGGCGGUUUCUCAAGUCUGAUAUGAAAACCCCCCCGCUCACCGGGGGAGGGUCAUUGGAAAACUGGGGAAAUUUGAGUGCAGAAAAAAGAGAGUGGAAUUCCACGUGGAACCGCUGAAAAUGCGUAAAAAUUUUGA